UCCGACGUGGUUUGGUGUCAGACCUCCAGAGUUUGAUCCUGAGCUUUCUCACACUCUGUGAACUUGUCCUUCUAACCUAUCGUCCCAGAUGUGGCGUCCAAAAAUAGAAAAAAGAAACUUGCUGUUGGACUGUUGACUCAGGAAGAUGUGACCUGCAAAAGCCGGUCAAGUCUUUUGUCUCGGACGGACACAGCGGUAUGAUCUUGGCUUGGACAGAGUGAGGAUAUGUUGCAUCAUGCGGUGACAGCCCAAGAUUGCAGUUUGCUGAGCACACAGUCUGCUAUUGAUCCCAGUUCAACCACGGACAAAUUGCCAAACGUUAUUCAUUCUGUGACCAUGCCCAGUUUCCUGUGUGGUCUGAAGCCUAGAAUGUCCCAACAAGUUCAGGUGACGCAGGCAAGCAGGCCAUUCCUUCCUUCCUCGGGGCCCGGCCCGCUCCAACCUCCUCAUCUGGCACCUCAUCAGCAGCCUGGAAGGAGGAGAUGGGCUGGCUGGGAAAAGAGGAACAUUACAAGACUGGAUACACUGCACUCAGGGGUGUGGACAGGAGGAGCAGGAUUAAGAAUGAUUCAAAAGGGUUUGGCACUGAGCAUGGCCAUUUUGUGGCCAAAUUA